UGCGCACGGCGGGCGGGGCCCUACCAUGCAAGUCGAGCGGAUGAAGGGAGCUUGCUCCUGGAUUCAGCGGCGGACGGGUGAGUAAUGCCUAGGAAUCUGCCUGGUAGUGGGGGAUAACGUCCGGAAACGGGCGCUAAUACCGCAUACGUCCUGAGGGAGAAAGUGGGGGAUCUUCGGACCUCACGCUAUCAGAUGAGCCUAGGUCGGAUUAGCUAGUUGGUGGGGUAAAGGCCUACCAAGGCGACGAUCCGUAACUGGUCUGAGAGGAUGAUCAGUCACACUGGAACUGAGACACGGUCCAGACUCCUACGGGAGGCAGCAGUGGGGAAUAUUGGACAAUGGGCGAAAGCCUGAUCCAGCCAUGCCGCGUGUGUGAAGAAGGUCUUCGGAUUGUAAAGCACUUUAAGUUGGGAGGAAGGGCAGUAAGUUAAUACCUUGCUGUUUUGACGUUACCAACAGAAUAAGCACCGGCUAACUUCGUGCCAGCAGCCGCGGUAAUACGAAGGGUGCAAGCGUUAAUCGGAAUUACUGGGCGUAAAGCGCGCGUAGGUGGUUCAGCAAGUUGGAUGUGAAAUCCCCGGGCUCAACCUGGGAACUGCAUCCAAAACUACUGAGCUAGAGUACGGUAGAGGGUGGUGGAAUUUUCCUGUGUAGCGGUGAAAAUGCGUAGAUUUUCGAAUGAAUUUU
rnacentral:rRNA from 1 species